rnacentral:rRNA from 1 species
AGUGAACGCUGGCGGUAGGCCUAACACAUGCAAGUCGAACGGCAGCACAGUAAGAGCUUGCUCUUACGGGUGGCGAGUGGCGGACGGGUGAGGAAUACAUCGGAAUCUACUUUUUCGUGGGGGAUAACGUAGGGAAACUUACGUUAAUACCGCAUACGACCUACGGGUGAAAGCAGGGGAUCUUCGGACCUUGCGCGAUUGAAUGAGCCGAUGUCGGAUUAGCUAGUUGGCGGGGUAAAGGCCCACCAAGGCGACGAUCCGUAGCUGGUCUGAGAGGAGGAUCGGCCACACUGGAACGGGGACACGGUCCAGACUCCUACGGGAGGCAGCAGUGGGCAAUGUUGGACAAUGGGCGCAAGCCUGAUCCAGCCAUACCGCGUGGGUGAAGAAGGCCUUCGGGUUGUAAAGCCCUUUUGUUGGGAAAGAAAAGCAGCAGGUUAAUACCCCGCUGUUCUGACGGUACCCAAAGAAUAAGCACCGGCUAACUUCGUG